rnacentral:rRNA from 1 species
UACGGAGGGGGCAAGCGUUGUUCGGAAUGACUGGGCGUAAAGGGCGUGUAGGCGGCUACAUAAGUCAGACGUGAAAGCCCCGGGCUUAACCUGGGAAUUGCGUUUGAGACUGUGUAGCUAGAGUACGAGAGAGGAAAGCAGAAUUUCCAGUGUAGAGGUGAAAUUCGUAGAUAUUGGAAGGAAUACCAGUGGCGAAGGCGGCUUUCUGGAUCGUAACUGACGCUGAGGCGCGAAAGCGUGGGGAGCAAACAGG